rnacentral:rRNA from 1 species
GACAGAGGGUGCAAACGUUGUUCGGAAUUACUGGGCGUAAAGCGCGUGUAGGCGGCCCUGCAAGUCGGAUGUGAAAUCCCACGGCUCAACCGUGGAAGUGCAUUCGAAACUGCAGGGCUAGAGUCCUGGAGAGGAAGGUGGAAUGCUUGGUGUAGAGGUGAAAUUCGUAGAUAUCAAGCGGAACACCGGUGGACGAAGGCGGCC